rnacentral:rRNA from 1 species
ACGCUGGCGGCGUGCUUACACAUGCAAGUCGAACGGGAACCUUUGGAUUCGUCUGAAGGGGAGAGUGGCGAACGGGUGAGUAACACGUGGGUGACCUGCCUCGAAGACGGGGAUAACCACUGGAAACGGUGGCUAAUACCCGAUGGUCUCGAUAAUUCGGUUUAUCGAGUAAAGGCUCCGGCGCUUUGAGAGGGACCUGCGGCCCAUCAGCUAGUUGGUAGGGUAAUGGCCUACCAAGGCAAAGACGGGUAGGGGGCGUGAGAGCGUGACCCCCCACACUGGCACUGGGACACGGGCCAGACUCCUACGGGAGGCAGCAGUGAGGAAUAUUGCGCAAUGAGCGAAAGCUAGACGCAGCAACGCCGCGUGGGUGAUGAAGGCCUUCGGGUCGUAAAACCCUUUUCUGGGGGAAGAGUAAGGACGGUACCCCAGGAAUAAGCCUCGGUUAACUAUGUGCCAGCAGCCGCGGUAAUACAUAGGAGGCAAGCGUUAUCCGGAUUUACUGGGCGUAAAGAGCGUUGAGGCGGCUUCGUAAGUUGGACGUGAAAAGCUCCCGGCUUAACUGGGAGAGGCCGUUCAAUACUGCGGGGCUUGAGGAACAGCAGAGGGGGGUGGAAAUUCCGGUGUAGUGGUGAAAUGCGUAGAUAUCGGAAGGAACACCAGUGGCG